rnacentral:rRNA from 1 species
GAUCCUGGCUCAGAUUGAACGCUGACGGAACGCUUUACACAUGCAAGUCGAACGGUAACGCGGUGGGAAGCUUGCUUCUCACCGGCGACGAGUGGCGAACGGGUGAGUAAUACAUCGGAACGUGUCCGCUCGUGGGGGACAACCAGCCGAAAGGUUGGCUAAUACCGCAUGAGUUCUACGGAAGAAAGAGGGGACCCGCAAGGGCCUCUCGCGAGCGGAGCGGCCGAUGACUGAUUAGCCGGUUGGUGAGGUAACGG